UUGUAUAGAUCAGCCGAUGAG
rnacentral:misc_RNA from 1 species